AGUGAACGCUGGCGGUAGGCCUAACACAUGCAAGUCGAACGGCAGCACAGUAAGAGCUUGCUCUUACGGGUGGCGAGUGGCGGACGGGUGAGGAAUACAUCGGAAUCUACUUUUUCGUGGGGGAUAACGUAGGGAAACUUACGCUAAUACCGCAUACGACCUACGGGUGAAAGCAGGGGAUCUUCGGACCUUGCGCGAUUGAAUGAGCCGAUGUCGGAUUAGCUAGUUGGCGGGGUAAAGGCCCACCAAGGCGGCGAUCCGUAGCUGGUCUGAGAGGAUGAUCAGCCACACUGGAACUGAGACACGGUCCAGACUCCUACGGGAGGCAGCAGUGGGGAAUAUUGGACAAUGGGCGCAAGCCUGAUCCAGCCAUACCGCGUGGGUGAAGAAGUCCUUCGGGUUGUAAAGCCCUUUUGUUGGGAAAGAAAAGCAGCAGGUUAAUACCCCGCUGUUCUGACGGUACCCAAAGAAUAAGCACCGGCUAACUUCGUG
rnacentral:rRNA from 1 species